rnacentral:tRNA from 1 species
GCGUUCUUAGCUUAGAUGGAUAGAGCAACGGCCUUCUAAGCCGUAGGUCACAGGUUCAAGUCCUGUAGAACGCA